rnacentral:rRNA from 1 species
AGCGAACGCUGGCGGCAGGCUUAAUACAUGCAAGUCGAGCGGGCGUAGCAAUACGUCAGCGGCAGACGGGUGAGUAACGCGUGGGAACGUACCUUUUGGUUCGGAACAACACAGGGAAACUUGUGCUAAUACCGGAUAAGCCCUUACGGGGAAAGAUUUAUCGCCGAAAGAUCGGCCCGCGUCUGAUUAGCUAGUUGGUGAGGUAACGGCUCACCAAGGCGACGAUCAGUAGCUGGUCUGAGAGGAUGAUCAGCCACAUUGGGACUGAGACACGGCCCAAACUCCUACGGGAGGCAGCAGUGGGGAAUAUUGGACAAUGGGCGCAAGCCUGAUCCAGCCAUGCCGCGUGAGUGAUGAAGGCCCUAGGGUUGUAAAGCUCUUUUGUGCGGGAAGAUAAUGACGGUACCGCAAGAAUAAGCCCCGGCUAACUUCGUGCCAGCAGCCGCGGUAAU